rnacentral:sRNA from 1 species
AUAUCUCUCUGUACGGGAAGGAUGAGAAGCUUCGACCAAGGUUCGAUUCGAGCGCAGCGAGAAAGCGUUGCCGCAGGCAACGACCCGAAGGGCGAAGCGCGCAGCGCUGAGUCAU